UGGGAUGCAACUUGAAAUCAACAUUAAAUACAAAAAUUCUAGAAGCUAAUUAAAUGCAACAAGCAAACACAUUACGAGAACAAAACUUAAAAAUGUGCUAACAACAAAAUAAAAUCAACCAACCUUGCACAAUGUAAUUCCAAUUUUAAUAACAUCAAAUUGAGUCUCGUUUUUAAGUGAAAUUAAUACUAAGGAAAAUCAUGCCAGGAGCUUCCCCUCGCGGACGUGCAGAUGUAAGCCAAAAAAAUAAAAUCCAAUGCAAACAAGUCUAUGGAACAGUAACAACAUGUUGAAUAAGCUUUUUAUCAAAAUAAAGCAAAGAAAAUAAAUGUGUUGUGCGCUUUCAAUUCAACUAAAAACAUGUAACUUUCUAAAUUGAAAAACAUCAGCCCCUUGUCUUAAACGAAAUGAAUGCACUUUCCCCACGAAUACAAUCACCGUCUCUUCAUUCCAGGCCUCAUCCAAUGUGCAGCUUCAACUAUCCAUCACCCGUGUGUCCUCCGNC
rnacentral:lncRNA from 1 species